CCCACACAGAAGGUCCCACCAAUGCUCCAGGAGUUUGCUAGGGACAGGGCAGCUGGCCACUCCACUGCAACAGGACAGCUCUUACGCUGACCUCUCUCUAGUCUGAGUGACUCAGAUGCCAGGGUGCUCUCCAGGUGACAAGGCCGUGCUGCACCCACAGCUCCGGCACAGCGCAUGGCGUCUGAGAAGCCUUUAGGAAAUGAGAUGCUAAUACUACGCUGCUGGCUCCAGGGGCCCUGCUUGGCCAGUGCCUUCACUCGCAGAUCCCACAGUGGCUCCUCAGCCUCCGUUUGGGAGCCUCAACGCGUAGCUGUCAGUACCUCCCACACAUGGUUUAUUUGGGCAUCUGAGGCCACUUGAUCUCAAUCAAUGCAGUUACUGCUAGGGGCAUUGUAACACAAAUCUCCAGCAGUGGAGCCACCAUGGCUUCCCCCGGCGCCCUUUGAAUACUUCCUGGGUACGGAGUUAAUCUACCCGACUGUCUUCUUCUCCAUGAAUCUGUGAGCUCUUUGAGGGGAGGGAUGGCAGCUUGUCCUCAUUUCCCCCAAAGAGUAUGAUGGCGAACAGUUUAUCACAUGAAUGCAUGGACCUUUGGAGAAGUCACACUUUUAUGUGUCUGAGGAGCUAAAUUUCUAAGUAAAGGAAACUCCAUGAUUCUCUCUCCCCACGCUGAGGAUCCCCUGGGGAAGCCAUGUGCCUGAACACGUACCACAUUCGUUCCAUGAAAAACCCCCAUCUCUCAAUGUGUUAUAGACCAGCUUCCAUGGGGUCCCAGAUCACAGCCUGCUGGCAAGGAAGCAUAGAAAAGAUCACCACAAAAAAGAAAGUGUUCAAAUUUAUCAAAACAAUCCAACCCCUCAAGGCUUUUCCCCUCUUGCACUCCAAAGAGGCAGACUUCACGUGAAUCAUCUUGUGUGAGGAUGAGAGCAUCAACCCUGGCAGCAGCAGCAGCAUUGACUGGGAAACCAGGUGAAGAAAUUGAAAUUUGCAGUAGUGAAGAUACCUGUUCAAACCCACACAGCCUGCGGGCAGGGUUGUCACAGAGAGACAUCCAAACCCAGCUCUUCUGAUUGUCGUUCUCGGGUCUUUUGUCCAGUCCAGUGCCCUCAGCAGUGGCCCUGGAGGGUGUGUGCAUUCACUGCCUCAGUACCGUCCAGCACUGUGAGUGACAGACGAGAUACUGGGAAGGGGCGGGCCCAGGGCUGUUCCAUGUAGAGCACUGGUGUGCGUAGAAGCCACCUGUGGGCAGCACAGAGACCAAACCAAGCUCAGGUUUGGCGGAAACCCGGCCUCUGCUCAACACAAGCCAAACGCCCCAUGCAGAGACCUCCCGGCACAAGUGGGUGCUGCUUCAUGUUUGACUCCAGCCGAUCCCUUCCAGGGGGGGAAGAAAGGCAGGUGCUGGGCACAAUUUGGGCUGCAUGUGGUUCUAAGGUUGGAGCAAGCUAGACACAUAGGGUCGUAUUUUCACUGGAGGCCAUCUUCUGGCUGGGCUACAUACUGGCCACUC